rnacentral:rRNA from 1 species
AGCAGCCGCGGUAAUUCCAGCUCCAAUAGCGUAUAUUAAAGUUGUUGCAGUUAAAAAGCUCGUAGUUGAAUUUCGGGAUUAGUAAGUUGGUCGUGCCUCUGGUAUGUACUGGCUUUACUGGUUCCUCCUUCUUGAAGAACUGUAAUGUCAUUAAUUUGGUGUUGCAGGGAAACAGGACUGUUACUUUGAAAAAAUUAGAGUGUUUAAAGCAGGCUAACGCUUGAAUACAUUAGCAUGGAAUAAUGAAAUAGGACGUUUGAUCCUAUUUUGUUGGUUUCUAGGAUUGACGUAAUGAUUAAUAGGGAUAGUUGGGGGCAUUAGUAUUCAAUUGUCAGAGGUGAAAUUCUUGGAUUUAUUGAAGACUAACUACUGCGAAAGCAUUUGCCAAGGAUGUUUUCAUUAAUCAAGAACGAAAGUUAGGGGAUCGAAGACGAUCAGAUACCGUCGUAGUCUUAACCAUAAACUAUGCCGACUAGGGAUCGGAUGAUGUUAAUUUUUAUGACUCAUUCGGCGCCUUACG